rnacentral:miRNA from 10 species
CCAGCACUUAACACUUGGAGGCACUCAGUAAGUAUUUAUUGGAUGAAUGAGUGAAUGAAUAAGUGAAGCACAAAAGAGCAUAAGCCUUUCUGCUCUUAACACCUACAGG